UCCACCUGGUUAAAAUUCCUCCUCUUUCUGUUUUCCAUCUCCCUACAUCCAUUUUGCUCGGCGCUGUUUAAACAAUACUUCAUCAAAUGCAGCCCGAAGCAAAUAAAAAGCACAGUAGAGUAAAUAAAAAGUGUAAAAAAAAAAAAAAAAAAAUCACAGGCUGGAGGGCAGCGGGACUGACGCCGGGGCUGCAGCACUGACCCGAGUCACAGCGAUGGGAAACCUUUGUUUAUCACCUGUGGUGGGGGCCAAAAUGGGAAAUUAAAAGCUCUCCAUCAGCGGAAGGCCUUCAGGAGCCCGGGAAAGUAACAGGAAGGCAAAAAGCAAACUGCUCCAUAUUUAUAACCGACUUCUUCAAUUGCUAUUUAAACUCGCAGCUCAUUAACCUGGGAGGCUGCUCCAGCACACAGCCACGCAAAGUUUAAAACGGCAAAAAUUUAGCUUGUCUUUCCGAGGUGUUCUGUAUUUCAUCAGAGCCUUUAACCUGCAUUUAAGAGCCGGCUGGAUGCAAUUGCUGACUACAAGCAGGAGCCAAGGCCCGCCACGCAUGGACGUUCAGCACUUCUCUGUGGGAAGGUCCAAGUCCGUGUAGGCCCGGGCCUGGCCGCCAUGCCUGCAGGUGUCUGGCAGCGCUCAGGCCGCAGUGGACCUUUCCCUGAUGCACUGUGUCUCAUCAGAGCACUGCUUCACAUCCCCUACCUGCCUUAUGGAUAGCAGCACCCUCACCACCACGAGGACCUACCAGUGCUUCUGCCUCUCUGCCCCUGCGCUGAUCUUAUGGAAUGAGAUUCCUAGUCUUAGGGACUAAAACAGCCUUUAGAACUAAGCGAGGGUCUACAUGGGAGACCAUUUCUCACCUAUGGGCUUUUCAGGAUCAGCUUGCCAAAACCAGCAUCCUCAUAGAAUCAUAGAAUCAUUAAGGUUGGAAAAGACCACUGAGAUCUAAUCCAGUCCCACCGUGCCCACUACCCACAUUCCUCAGUGCCACAUCCCCAUGGCUCUGGAACACCUCCCAGCAUGGUGACCCCACCACCUCCUUUCAUUUCACACUGGGCAUUUUCUUCCCCAAACACAUCAUUCUGAAGAGAACAAGAUUGCAAGGCAUCUUACUUGUAAAGCGAACAGGAGAUGCUUUGAUUUUCGAAAGAAUAAUGCUUCCAGCUGUCCUAGUUAGUUCAGAGGAUUUAAAAUUUUACAUCUAUAUUAAAUUAAUAGAAUACAGCUGCAUUUUGCUUCUAACACAACGUCGUAUUACAGCAUAGCAUGGCACUCAUUUGAAGGGAUGACCUGAAGCUCACAGAGCUCCACUGGGAGAUGCCUUCUGGAGCCUUUAUCAGCUCAGGGUUGGAACACCCACCACCACCUUUUAUACUGACACCUCCAAGCAGCACUUGGGACUCCUCUUAUGAACACUUUAUAACAUGCAGCUGAAACAGCAGAACUCUUGGCUGACACUGGAGGACUGUACCAAUGGCUGACAAGCAGGGCUUGCUGCAGAACUCCCACAGCAGCCAUUGCUCCACAGAGACAUUGCAACAGCUCCACCUCACAUCACCUUUGGGACAUUCUGAGGCCACAGUUAGCUGGCCUUGUCACCGUCACCUGCCCUUUACUCAGC
rnacentral:lncRNA from 1 species